rnacentral:rRNA from 32 species
GGUUGACCUCGGAUCAGGUAGGGAUACCCGCUGAACUUAAGCAUAUCAAUA